GAUGAACGCUAGCGGCAGGCUUAAUACAUGCAAGUCGAGGGGCAGCAUGACUGUAGCAAUACAGUUGAUGGCGACCGGCAAACGGGUGCGGAACACGUACAGAACCUUCCUUCGAGCGGGGAAUAGCCCAGAGAAAUUUGGAUUAAUACCCCAUAGUAUUACGGAGUGGCAUCACUUUGUAAUUAAAGAUUUAUCACUUGAAGAUGGCUGUGCGGCUGAUUAGGUAGUUGGCGGGGUAACGGCCCACCAAGCCUGCGAUCAGUAACUGGUGUGAGAGCACGACCAGUCACACGGGCACUGAGACACGGGCCCGACUCCUACGGGAGGCAGCAGUAAGGAAUAUUGGUCAAUGGACGAAAGUCUGAACCAGCCAUGCCGCGUGGAGGAUGAAGGUCCUCUGGAUUGUAAACUUCUUUUAUAUGGGACGAAAAAGGGUCUUUCUAGACCGUCUGACGGUACCUUAUGAAUAAGCACCGGCUAACUCCGUGCCAGCCGCCGCCGUAAGAC
rnacentral:rRNA from 1 species